rnacentral:rRNA from 1 species
AUUGAACGCUGGCGGCAGGCCUAACACAUGCAAGUCGAACGGAGCGGCGGCGGGGUGAGUAGUGCCGAGGAAUCUGCCUGGUGGUGGGGGAUAACGUCCGGAAACGGGCGCUGAUACCGCAUACUAUCAGCGGAGCCUAGGUCGGAUUAGCUAGUGGGUGGGGUAAAGGCCUACCAAGGCGACGAUCCGUAACUGGUCUGAGAGGAUGAUCAGCCACACUGGAACUGAGACACGGUCCAGACUCCUACGGGAGGCAGCAGUGGGGAAUAUUGGACAAUGGGCGAAAGCCUGAUCCAGCCAUGCCGCGUGUGUGAAGAAGGUCUUCGGAUUGUAAAGCACUUUAAGUUGGGAGGCGUUACCAACAGAAUAAGCACCGGCUAACUUCGUGCCAGCAGCCGCGGUAAUUC